UCCUGGCUAGCAAUCAUGGUGAAUGCGCCGGUCUGUUAAACCGGAAUGAGGUUGGUUCGAUUCCAACGCCAGGAGCCA
rnacentral:tRNA from 1 species